GGAAAGUUUGAUUCUUGCUUUGUUUUUGUUUUAUAAUAAAAAAGUACAUGCAAAUUUUUGUUAGAAUGCCCUAUAGUAGCUUAAUAUUACUAUAAAAGUCAAAAAUUAAAUCGCAGUAUUAAAUAUUAUAGAUUAAGUUAGGGCUUGAUUUAAUUAAUUAUAAGAGGUCUGAUUAAAUUUUGUGCCAGCAGUCGCGGUUAGACUUAAAGGCCCGACAGGAAAAUUUUAGCGGGAGUUAUUGAGCUAGAAUUUAAAAGGAGUUUGGUUUGCAGAAAUAAAAGGUGAAAUUAAAUUAUUUUAUAGAAAAUUAAAAUCUAUUUUUUAUUUAUAAGAAGCUCAUAAGAUAAAGAUAUGAACUAGGAUUAGAUACCCUAUUACACUUUAAUAAAAAAGUUAUUGCUUGAAUAUUAAUAGCUAUGUGCUUUAAAUUCAAAGAAUUUGGCGGUAUUUUAGUCUUGUUAGAGGAACCUGUUUUCUAAAUGAUACUACACGAAAAAUCUUACUUACUUUUGUUUUACAGCUUGUAUACCGUCAUUAUUAGAUAACUUUUACUGAUUAAGUUAUUAAAAUUGAGGGCUUAAAUAUAUUAGAUCAAGGUGCAGCUGAUAUGUAAGUAAAAAUGGGUUACAAUAAAAUUUAUUUAUAACGGAUUAGAAAUUGAAACUAGCCCUAUGAAGGAGGAUUUAAUUGUAAUAAAUGUUUAGUAAGGGUUUAUGAUAUUAGAACUAAAUUAUGUACAUAUCGCCCGUCACUUCCAUUUCAGGUGGAAUAAGUCGUAACAAAGUAGGUUUACUGGAAGGUGAAUCUAGAAAUAU
rnacentral:ncRNA from 1 species